rnacentral:ncRNA from 1 species
CUGACGGCCGCGUUCGGGUCAAUUGCGGACUGCAACACCCGAUCUCCCUCCUCACUCCGGACGGACUGGAAGUCAAGGAGGGGGAGCGCGUCGCCAUCAG